GUAGGUGAACCUGCGGAAGGAUCAUUAACAAAUCCUGACCGUCGUCGAGUUUUGUCGACGAUGAAGACACCGUGCACUGGCAACCGGAGAUGGGAGACGACCCGUGUGAGUGAGGUGUGCGGCCGGCCGUGAGUGGGAUGGCGCACUUAAAUCGGUGGGAAUCAUUGUCCACCGACCGCCGGGCCUCCAACGGAGUUCUGCCAUCUUUG
rnacentral:misc_RNA from 1 species